rnacentral:lncRNA from 1 species
UGUGUAAAUAAAUGUCAUUUUAAUGUGUUAAACUUCAUUAUUUUAAACUUAGGUAUAAAACUUUAUCAUUACUAAACUGGCCUGUGUUAACACUAACACUUGCACUGUUUAACUAACUCACUGGUAAGCUAGCUUGGGGUCUAUUGUUAAGGUUAAGUGAUCUGUGUCAGGUUCAAUCUCUGCAUUGGCCUGUUGUCAAGGUUCCUAUUGUUUCAAAGGUUUCAGCUUCUCGUCAUAUUUAAAGCCUUCUACUGCCUUUCAUUUGUGGCAGUAUACAUUUUCUCCUUGAGACUUGCAAUACCUGCACAGCACCAGCACAUUAUGGGGUAAGUUAAGUUAGAUCUUUUAGUAUUACAUGUAUAGUAGGGCUAUUAGGAUUUAGUGUAUUAGAUUACAUGUUUUAAGGAAUAGUGUUUUAUCAUAUUUAGUGUAUGUAAGGUGUUUGUCUAUAAAUAUAUGCAUGCUUAGUAUUUUAGACAAAUAUAUGAUGUAUUGUGUACCAGUACACUAGUAUACUAUCAUGAUGCUUUAAUUUGUAUCAUGCACAUGUAGUAUGUAUAAGUAUAUGUAUUAGCUAUUUUAUGAUUGGCAUGAUACAGUAAUGUGUAUCAUGCAUGUUUAUUAUAAGGUUUAGUUUCUAUAUGCAUAUUUAUGUAUGUAUUAGGGUAAAUAACUAUUUAUGUGUUCGCUAAUGCCAUUUAUGAUGUAUAUCUGUAUAUACUAGCAGUAUACUUAGGUAAUAUUUUGUUUAUUUAGGUUCACUAAGAAUCAGAUGUUUUAGUACCUGUUGGACUAUUCUGCCUGCGUCCCUGAGACGAGGGCGUUUUGUUAUAAUUCUGCCAACUGGGGAUCUCCUUAUCCAACGUAACCAGCGCCGAAUAAAUCCCUGAAACCACA